rnacentral:rRNA from 1 species
GAGACUGUAAAGUGGAGCGAAACCCAGAAAAGUAACUCUCAGUUCAGAUUGUGGGCUGCAACCCGCCCCACAUGAAGUUGGAGUUGCUAGUAAUCGCGGAUCAGCAUGCCGCGGUGAAUACGUUCCCGGGCCUUGUACACACCGCCCGUCACACCAUGGGAGUCGGAAAUGCCCGAAGUCAGUGACCCAACCGUAAGGAGGGAGCUGCCGAAGGUGGAGCCGGUAACUGGGGUGAAGUCGUAACAAGGUAAC